CUCUCUGUAGCUCAGUUGGUCAGAGCUCUGCACCGGAAUUGCAGGAUCGCAGCUUCGAUUCCUGCCAGAGGGA
rnacentral:tRNA from 1 species